GAGAGUAUAGCUCAGUGGUAGAGCACAUUGUUAGCAGGCACAAGGUCCUGGGUUCAAUCCCCAGUACCUCCA
rnacentral:tRNA from 1 species